rnacentral:rRNA from 1 species
CGCAUAACGUGCGAGAGGGGCAUCCCUUUUGUACCAAAGGAGCAAUCCGCUGAAAGAUGGGCUCAUGACUGAUUAGUUAGUUGGCAGGGCAACGGCCUACCAAGACUGCGAUCAGUAGCCGGACUGAGAGGUUGAACGGCCACAUUGGGACUGAGAUACGGCCCAGACUCCUACGGGAGGCAGCAGUGGGGAAUAUUGGGCAAUGGGCGAAAGCCUGACCCAGCAACGCCGCGUGAAGGAAGAAGGCCUUCGGAUUGUAAACUUCUUUUAUGAGGGACGAAGGACGUGACGGUACCUCAUGAAUAAGCCACGGCUAACUACGUGCCAACAGCCGCGGUAAUACGUAGGUGGCGAGCGUUAUCCGGAUUUACUGGGUGUAAAGGGCGCGUAGGCGGAUCAGCAAGUCAGAUGUGAAAUCCAUGGGCUUAACUCAUGAACUGCAUUUGAAACUGUUGAUCUUGAGUGCUGGAGAGGUAGACGGAAUUCCUAGUGUAGCGGUGAAAUGCGUAGAUAUUAGGAAGAACACCGGCGGCGAAGGCGGUCUACUGGACAGUAACUGACGCUGAGGCGCGAAAGCGUG